rnacentral:lncRNA from 1 species
AAUUGUGACUGCUACCUAGGCCCAGCACACAGAAAUUAUAAUGUCUCUCAGAUGUAGAACCAGCCAAAUGCUGAUGGUAAGGAUUAUUACCCUUCCAUAUGGACACAGCCCAUUGUUGAGGUUCUGAAUCUCACAGCUGGAGGCAAUUGAAAGUUGGAUGUGUGAUUCUUAUACAUGGAUCCAGAUCACAGGGUAAUUUGUGACAUACUGCUGGACCCAGCACCCAGAUCAUUUGACUCUCCUGCCUUGGUCCUGCCCACAGAGGGCAUUGUGACAUGUGAGUGGGCUCAGCAGCCAGAUGAUGUCACCUUCCUGCCAGGACUCUUCCAACAGAAGGGGCAUUGACCUACUCAGGCUCAGUAUUCAGGUGCUGUCUGAGGUUUGGCUGUCAUGCGUGGAUUCAAGUUGCUGUUGAAAUUGUGAUGUGCAGCUGGGCAUGGUGGCUCAUGCUUGUAAUCCCAGCACUUUGGGAGGCCAAGGCAGGUGGAUCACCU